GUGGGGGUGGUGUGUGCUUGUCACCGCCAAAAUGUGGACCAGCCCGGCUAGGUCAGAGGUCCCGGACCGCAGGAGACCGAGGUAAUGAUGAUGUCAUGAGAAAUCUCAAGUGCACGCGGCUUAAUUGAUGCGCACGAGCCCCAUCUCGCCUCCGAUCAUACGCAGCUCCCGGCUUUUACCUCCCUCCUCGCCAGCGCAGACCGCUCUGACCUCCGCGGGGACGGGAAGGAAACAACACACCCAUCCUCGCUACUGCGUGAUAAAAGCCCUUUUCACCGAGCCAGGGGGAAGCGUCCCUCCGCUGCAGCCCGUCUCCCCGCCAGCCGCAGAGGGGAGCUGCGGCCGCCGGCAAGGCCGGGAGCAGCACUGCGCUACGCUGCCGGUUCCCUCUCGCCGUUGCUGUGUGCGGUGGGGGGCGGAGGGGGGGGGGUCAUAGCCCCGCACCCCCGCCGUGUUUCGCUCCUACAGGGAUGCAUCCGCAGAUCUCCAGGUGGCUGUGACAUACAGAAAAACACAUCCUGUGUGGAUUUCUUAGGAAUAAACAGUCCCUAUUGACUUCAAAGAUGAAUGCUUAUGGUUCUCAGAUUAUUGCCCCCUCCUAAUGCCAGCAUCAUCACCUUCCAUGGGGAAGACACAGUCGCCCUUCGGCUGCUGUGAGGUACAUAGGAAGGGCAUAGCAUUACAUAAACUCCCUUUUUGCACCAAUUUAUGGCAGAAUUCAUGCCGAUGCAAACCACAGCACGCCAAUACAGCCCAGGCCAGCUUUCUCUGCAGAGCAUCCCUUUCCUUCUCCCAGCCAGGUUAAAUCACUGGCCUGGCUUGCCUUCUAAUAAGGGUGCCUUGCAGCUUCUUUUCUCACCACAGUUUCAUUUCACUGCAGAUGAUGCUCCUGUUAUGUUGAACUUAUGGUAUGCAAAGAGAUAUCUACUACAAAUCCAAACUAUUACAUGAGAAGACAGACUGAUGAGAAUUCAAAGUUGGCGGCGGGGGGAAGGGGAAGAGAUGGAGAGGAGAGGGAAGUAUUAAAACCACCAACUGUCAGUAAAUACACAUGGAAACACUGCAUGCUGCCAAAGAAGAUUACCUGUAGGUAAUGCACAUAGUAGUGUCAGACUUCUAUUAAACAACAAAAAGAAGUUACCGUU